rnacentral:rRNA from 1 species
CCUCAAAUCAGGUAGGACUACCCGCUGAACUUAAGCAUAUCAAUAAGCGGAGGGAAAGAAACUAACAAGGAUUCCCCUAGUAACUGCGAGUGAAGAGGGAAAAGCUCAAAUUUAAAAUUUGGCAGUUCUUUGGGCUGUCCGAGUUGUAAAUUGGAGAAGUGUUAUCCGCGCUGGCCUGUGCAAAAGUCUCUUGGAAAAGAGCAUCAUAGAGGGUGACAAUCCCGUCUUUGGCACAGACUACCCAGGGCUUUUGUGAUGCGCUCUCAACGAGUCGAGUUGUUUGGGAAUGCAGCUCUAAAUGGGUGGUAAAUUCCAUCUAAAGCUAAAUAUUGGCGAGAAACCGAUAGUGCACAAGUACCGUGAGGGAAAGAUGAAAAGAACUUUGGAAAGAGAGUUAAACAGUACGUGAAAUUGUUGAAAGGGAAACGCUUGAAGUCAGUCACGUCCCACUGAAAUCAACCUGAGCAUUUGAAUCACUUCUGGUGUACUUUCUGUGGGAUGGGUCAGCAUCAGUUCUGACCAUUGGAAAAAGGCCUUGGGAAUGUGGCAUCUUUUUUAAGGUGUGUUAUAGCCCUGGGACCACAUACAGUGGUUGGGACUGAGGAACUCGGUGCGUGGUUCACCUUUGAGGUUUCGGCCUCGAAAGGCACGCAGUCCAGGAUGCUGGCAUAAU